rnacentral:rRNA from 1 species
UACGUAGGGUGCAAGCGUUGUCCGGAAUUAUUGGGCGUAAAGAGCUCGUAGGCGGUUUGUUGCGUCGGCUGUGAAAUCCCGAGGCUCAACCUCGCGUCUGCAGUCGAUACGAGCAAACUAGAGUGUUGCAGGGGAGACUGGAAUUCCUGGUGUAGCGGUGAAAUGCGCAGAUAUCAGGAGGAACACCGGUGGCGAAGGCGGGUCUCUGGGCAACAACUGACGCUGAGGAGCGAAAGCGUGGGGAGCGAACAGG